rnacentral:lncRNA from 1 species
AAAGAUGUCUCAAAGUAGGCAGAGCAUGGAAGAUUACAUACAAAAAUUAAAAUAGCUGUGUUAGUGUUGUGUUACUAUAAACAUUAAAUUUUUCCCUUUAUGACAUUACUGACAAGGCUAAUCCCCCCUAAAAUGGAGUAUUUUCCUAUUUGGUGCCACAAAGCCAAUACACAAAAUUGAAAGUGUGCAUCUAGCAGUGCAGGCUUUAUUUGAUGCCCAUAGAACUGAGAUGUGGGAGCCUGGCUCACAAAUCAACUUCUCAGCCCAUGAGGGAUAGGGCAUCCCCCUAUGACAGCCAAGAAAUCACAAAUAUAGGACAUUCCCCAUGAGAGCCAGGAAGUCACAGAUAUGGAGCAUCUUUAAUGAAGGGGUUGGGGAAUUAAAAGCAAGGGGAAAAGUAUUCAUGUCUUUUCUGGGAAUUAGGUAGAUAACUUCUCAGAACCAGAGUUUUUGUCCCCCUUUUUUGUCCUUUUAUGGUUUCUUCUGGUCGUUGUCAUGGUGAUUGUCAGCUGUCUUGGCACUGGGGGGAGGGUCAUUUAGCAUGGAAAUUAGAUUAUAAUGAAGUUAGAGGUUCUUCAGAGGUCAAGUGAGCUGCCAUCUUGGUUCCCACCACUCUUAGCUGGUUUGGUGUCAUGAUGGGGAGCUUUUGACCACAGACAUCCCGUUUCCUAAAGAUAACCAGAGUUAAGGUGGGGAAGAAAUUUACUUAGGUCACACAGACGUUACACUGGGUAACAACAUUACUUUGACAACAAAAAUAAAUGCACUUUAUAACAGAAAAAAGUCCAGGAAAAAAUUGAGACACUUUAAUAUUUGUUAUUGGUCUGAAAAAAC